UGUUUCCGGCCACAAAACCACCAGUAUCACCACCCUUUUCCAGACCCCAAUCCACCUUAUCACCACCCUCUAAACCCCUUUUAACCACACUAACCGCCACAGCAAUAGCCACCACAAUACUAACGACCUCUCUCCCUUCUUUAGCAGAUUCCCCCUCCAGCUUCAACAUUUACUACGGUACAGCUGCUAGCGCCGCCAAUUACGGCGGCUACGGAGGAAAUUCCGAUAAGAAGGCGUCGGCUGAGUAUAUUUACGACGUCCCCGAUGGGUGGAAAGAGCGUCUGGUGUCGAAAGUUGAAAAGGGCACAAAUGGAACA
rnacentral:misc_RNA from 1 species